AAUUUAUCGGUGACAGGAAUUAGUAUCUUUAUUUUACUUGCAUUUAGAGAAGAAGCGGUUGGUGAAAGCUUUUGCCGGUGAUAAAGAGAAGCUCUCCUUGAGAAUUUUCGUAAUGGAAAACGGUGUGGAAUCUCGUUAUCGGUUCUAAUAAGAUAAUUUGAAAAAGUUUGAUUUCAAAUUAGAGUAAGGUGGUACCGUGAUGAUGAGUCGCCCUUAUG
rnacentral:ncRNA from 1 species